CACAGCCGUGUCUGUAGACAGGUCCAAUGCUGAGCACUUUUGUAUCUCGUGGAAGCGAUUCAGCGUGUAAGCGGGAAAACACCUGAUGCCUGACCUGGAAGCUGUGUGGAACAAAAGGCUGGUGGCAAGGAGCUGACGACCGUGAGCAACUUCCCUCUCGGGGCUAGGUCUGUGUCUGGGUAGAAAGAAUUACAUCUCUGUGCUUCCGUUAACUCAAGGUCAACCCCCACCUCAGAGAGCAGAGAGGGUUUUCUUUGAAGGAAAUUUUGAGGUCAGGAUGAGCUAGAGAUGAAGCUGAACACAUGAUACUCUUUUUCUGGAAAAAGACAAUGAGAUCUUGAGCUUUCUUCUGGAUGGUGCCAACAGGUAUCAAAAGGAGCGGAAGUUUCUCGUCUCUCUCUGCAGGGCCCUUAGAGGCAUCUCAAAGUUCAGUGUUAGAAGUUGCUGUGCUUCAAUUCACGUCGAGUCUUAAGUCUGCCGUGUGCUUUCCUUCCGUCACAGUAGCAGAUCUGUCCUCUAAUUCACCGGGAAAACGGCAAUGCCCCAAGAUCCAGCAGGCAUUCCCUGGGAACCUACCAACCAAGCCUACCAGAGAAGCAAAUAGGCCAAGUAAAUAGACCUCCUUAGCCCCCACCAGCCAUCACUCCUAAGUAUCAGCUCCAAACACCUGGAGCACAUUUUACCCAGGACCCCCAGUGGACACACCUAGCAGAAUACCAGAAAAAAAUCUCUACAAAGCAAUAAGUAAUCAGCACAUCCUUCUACAAACCAGCAAAACACACACUCAGCAAAGACAAGACCAAAUACCAGUACCUAGAACUGCCAUCAUUGUAAAGCCAGAUACAGAAGUUCAAGCUCAAAAACAGUCAUCAACAGCCAGGACAUUAUGUCUCCACUAGAGCCCAGCAACCUUACCAUGGGAGGCCCCAGAAUUGCAACACAGCUGAAGCACAAGAAAAAGACCUUAAGACAGCCUUUAUGAAUGUAAUAGAGGUCCUUAAAAAGGAAAUUAAUAAAGCUCUUAAAGAAAUCUAUGAACACACAAACCAACAGUAGGAGAAAGUGAAUAAAUAAAACAGUUCAAGACCUGAAAAUGAAAAUAGAAUCAGUAAAGAAAAUCUAAACUGAGGAAAAUCAGGAAAUGAAAAAUUCAAGAACUCAAACAGGAACCACAGAGGCAAACUUCAUUAACAGAAUGCAAGAGAUAGAAGAGAGAAUCUCGGGCUUUAAAAACACGAUAGAAGAAAUGGAUGCAUCAAAGAAAACAUUAAAUCUGAAAGCUUCCCAACACAAACUAUCUAGGAAAUAUGGGAUACUGUGAAAGGACCAAAUCUAAGAAUGAUAGGAGCUAAGGACAAGAAACGUAGGUACAGAUAAUAUUUUCAACAAAAUCAUAGAAGAAAAAUUUUCUAACUAAAGAAGAAGACACUGAUCAAAGUACAAAAAGCAAACAAAACACCAAAUAGACUGGACCAAAAAAGAAAGUCCUUGAGGCACAUAGUAAUAAAGAAAUAUCUAAAUUAAGUACAAUCUUGAUGUCGUUAAAUACAAACUGGUUCAUUGUAAUUACUUUUACCUUGUCACCUUAUAGCAUAAAAUACUGUCAUUUUAAAUUUACUUUGUUUCCUAGAAUGAAACAGAUAAAAUUAUUGUCCUGAACUCACUAUAAACUAAGAGAUAGCUGGAAAAUGUGUAGUCAGGUAAGUCCCAGUUCAAAAGACAUAUGUUCUUGUAACUUUUGGACCCUGUUAACCUUUAGGCCUUGUCAACCUUUGUCACUCUGAACUCACUAUGAACUAAUGUAAUGGAUACAUAGAUAAGAAAUGUUUAGUUUUAAAACAUAUAAUCUGUUGUAUUUUAGAAUUCAUCUGUUUCUGUGAUUAAUUGCCUUUUUGACUAUGAGGUAAUUCCUUUUCUGAGAGCUUUGCCUCAGAAGGAUAAAAGUUGUGACCAGACAAUAGGCAUUGGUUGAAGCCCACUGGAAUUUGCUUCAUCCAUGAGUUGUAAAUAUGUACAUAGAUAUAUGUUUGCAUGUAAAUAUGUCCAUCUGUCUGUUUUUUGUACAUGUUACAUGAGUGUAUGUCAAUUGUCUGUACAAAGAAACUCCUUUUGUAUUGUCCAUUGAAUAUGUGUAUAAAUAUGUACAAGUCUAUAUAUAUGAUUGUUUUUCUGUAUGCACAUAUGGGCUGAUACUAUGGAACCAGCAGCCUGAAUUUGCUGCAGUUUUUGUAGAGCAGAUGCUAGCUGAAAUCAGCAUCAUUGUCAUAUGUAAGCCUGUAGGAAUUUGUUAAAAUUGAAGUUAGAGUUUUUAACUUCCUCCACCUUUUCCUCUUGAAUGCUAUGUGUGUGAGUGCUCCAUUUUUUUAAUUUGUUAUUUUUUUGUUUUCCUGUAGAUUCACUAAUAAGUUAACAGACUCAGGGCUUUGCCCUCAGCAGGCACACUUCAGCCUAGUGGAGAUCUCUGCAAAGAGGCCCAUCUCCAGAUCAAAGAGCCUCCUUUUACAA